rnacentral:lncRNA from 1 species
ACUUCAAGUGCAGGAUCGACAACUUCAUGCCGAGGAGUGACAUCACUUAUUUUAUUCAGAAACUUGGUAAAGUAAGACCGUGCUCUCGGAUUGAUAGCCGCCUUCAAACCUGAAAGUUAAUAAAACAUUUAGCAAAGUUAAAAUAUCUGCUAUAAAAAAACAAGUGAAACAAGCACAUACCAAUAAAAUCUUUGAGAUUUUUUUGACGUGUACAGUCAUAACAAAGCGCGAGUGGGAAUCUGGUGUGUGAAGUGAUCGAAAACUUCGAUUAUAAGCCGAUCAGCAGCAUCUAUUGAAUGGUAUGACCACGAAUUAAAUUUCAAAGGUUGGUCAAUUCAAUACAAAGGGAAUUUUGGAUAUCUCCAUCAAAAAAGUAUUUCUUUCAUUCUUCUAUCAAAAUCUUUAAAAAAACCUCUUUAAGUCUUUAUACGAAAAAGUAAAGGGUUUAAGAAAACAAAAUCUAAGUUUACUAAUCAAGGACAAUCAUCGUUUGUCAGGCCGAAAAUUAUAGUAAUACAAAAAAGAUUUCCUACUAGAAAAAAGUGAUAGUAAUUUACUAUCACGCAAUAUAGUUACUACUAGGAAAAAGUGAUAGUAAAACCUUGAAUGGAAACCAACCAUUCGAAAAUAAGUUAAUUCAAACACUCAAGAUACAAUUUUUCAUGCAUCAAUCAUUUCACUUUCUAUUAGGGUACUUUGAUAUUUUUUCCUUCAUAAUUACUUACAAAAUCCUGCACAUAAAAUCUAUAAUAAAAAUUAAUAAUAACAAAAUUAAAAAAUUAUUGCGUAGAAUUGCAGGACAUACCAGAAAAAGGUUGAAUAGGAAGAGAAAAAGGAGAUGGUCGAGGAGGUAAACGCAUUGAACCUUGGUUAUCAAACUCGCGAGUAUAGUAGACUCCACUCGUAAAAUGAAAAAAAAAUUUAAAAAUAUUUACUCCAAGUUUUUCCAAUUAAAAAAGAAAGCACUGCAAACAAAAAAUAUCUGCACCUCAAUUAAAUAAAAGAACCCAGUUUAGUGCGGCCCAAUAGAAAAACCCAAUAUGCAGUCCAAUAAAAAAAAGCCCUAAUUUCCUAAAUCACACUACAGAAACCCUAAUUCCAACACCAUCCAUCUCAAUAAUCUUAUAUGAUGAACAACACCACUGUCGACCUGCCACUGCAACCACCACAACCACCGCAACCGCACGAUCGGACGAACCACCACUACCGCACGACCGGACGAACCACCACAAUCGCGCGACCUCUUCUGCAGAAUCACCACCACCGUGGGACCUGCUCCGCUUGAUUGCCACCACCGCCGCACUUGUUCAGAGAAGACGUUUGACCUCCGCACUCCAGAGAAGACGCAACACCAUCAAAACGAAACUCGAACAAAACGAAACUCGAACCCUAAAUGCACAGUUCUGGGUUAAAACAAAAACCCAGUUGAACUCGUCAACUCGGAGCAGACUCGCGAGUUUGAACGAGUUCACCGAGUUCAUUCCGAGUCUGCCAAGUUUACUCUAAAACCGAGUUUACUACCGAGUUAACUCGGUAAGGGUAUCUGGACACGUAAACUCGGACGAGUCAACGAGUUGACUCGCGAGUUUGAUAACCAUGACAUUAAUUAAUCAUUAUUUCUGACUUUUGGUUAACUGUUAGUCCCUCUUUGAGAAUGACAACCAUUAUUUUAAAUUUGUUAGUUCUUUCUAACUUGGAAUUAUGUUUGCUAGGAAAUCUCAAAUUCUGAUCUCCUUGUUCGUUACCAAAUAUUAUUUUUCACUCUCUUGUUAUUUAUGUUUCUUAAUGUGCAGCAAAUUAACCAAUGCAUCAAUAAAAGUCAUUGCUGAGCACUGUCCUGGGUUGGGUGCACUCAAACUUGUGUAUUUGGACAACUUGACGGAUUUAUCCAUGGGAUAUCUUACAAAUAGCUGUCGAGUACUCCAUACAUUGAAGCUCUGCCAUAAUCCAUUCAGGUGCUUUUUUGUUUUCUACUAUUUUCUCUUUCUCUUUAUACAUUUGCACAUUACUUUUGCUAGUUUCUGAUAUUUUCUGUCUCAUUAUAAGUUUGCUAUAAUCUGUCUUAUCUUUGCAAGAUAGAUUCUUUUGUAGGAGGUUACAGCUUUUAAAUAAGAUGAUUAUCUUUGUUCCUGUGGUAAUAUGAAUUCUAUGUAGGAGUGGUUAAUUAAUAAUUAUAAUUUCAAAUUUGUUUUG